rnacentral:rRNA from 1 species
GACGAACGCUGGCGGCGUGCUUAACACAUGCAAGUCGAACGGAAAGACCCAGCUUGCAGCUUACUCGAGUGGCGAACGGGUGAGUAACACGUGGGAAAUCUGCCCUGCACUUCGGAAUACGCCUGGGAAACUGGGCCUAAUACCCGUAAGGAGCCAUUUUUAGUGUGAUGGUUGGACGGAUUUUUCGCUGUAGGAUGAGCUGGUGGCCUAUCAGCUAGUUGGUGGGGUAAUGGCCUACCAAGGCGGCGACCGGUAGCCGGCCUGAGAGGGUGGUCGGCCAUAUUGGGUCUGAGGGGCGGCCCAGGCGGGUAAGAGUGGAAGCAGGGGGGAAUAUUGCACAAGGGGCGCAAGCCUGAUGCAGCGAGGCUUCGGGGUGGAUGACGCCCUUAGGGGUGUGAACGCGUAGCGAGAUAGACGAAGGCUGUUGUGACGGUACCUAGAGAAGAAGCACCGGCUAACUACGUG